rnacentral:rRNA from 1 species
CGGAGGAUCCAAGCGUUAUCCGGAAUCAUUGGGUUUAAAGGGUCCGUAGGCGGGUUUAUAAGUCAGUGGUGAAAGCCCAUCGCUCAACGAUGGAGCGGCCAUUGAUACUGUAGAUCUUGAAUUAUUAGGAAGUAACUAGAAUAUGUAGUGUAGCGGUGAAAUGCUUAGAGAUUACAUGGAAUACCAAUUGCGAAGGCAGGUUACUACUAAUGGAUUGACGCUGAUGGACGAAAGCGUGGGUAGCGAACAGGAUUAGAUACCCUGGUAGUCCACGCCGUAAACGAUGGAUACUAGCUGUUCGGAGCAAUCUGAGUGGCUAAGCGAAAGUGAUAAGUAUCCCACCUGGGGAGUACGUUCGCAAGAAUG